AGGUGUGUAGCUUAGUGGAUAAAGCAUUAGGUUCCGAUCCUAAGUAACGAGGGUUCAACUCCCUCCAUACCUU
rnacentral:tRNA from 1 species